UAUAUAUAUAUAUAUAUAUAUAUAUAUCAGUUCACAUGCAGUAUGGACACAUUAUAUAUAUAAUAUAUAACACAUGCUAUAUUUAAAAAAAAUCCAACAACUUGUGAAUCAUUUUUUUCAAAGUGUUGGCCAAUGGAAAAAAACUAGCACAUGCAAAUCUUGGACUUUAAUCAAUUAGAAAGUAUACUAAGUCACACGCUAUUAAUAUAAUGAAUGAUUUGGCAAUUAAGUCCUAAUCUUGAAAAGAAACUUUGCAUCCUGCCAAUUUAUUUCAUCUUCCAAGACCACUAACACUCACCCACCCACUUGUUAUACAUAUAUAAAUAAUAUGUAUAUAUAUAUAUAUUUAUUUUAAUACAUCCUUCCGAUAAUUUUGAAAAAUGGGUAAAUAGAGAUCAAAAUAAUAAGUAAAAUUGAGUGACUUCUCACGUAAGCAUCAAUAAUCAAUACCGUGUGCUACUAUGCAACCACGCGUAUUACUGUACUUUUACUACCGAGUAGUUCAACAGUAUCAACGGUAAAGCUUCCGCCGUAUUUUCAAUAAAAUAUUUUUGUCAUUUUCUCAAUCCGACAAUAAUUCUGUUGUGUGGUCCACCAAUGAUUGUGCCGUCGUACGAAUAUUUUCUGUUAAAACGGAUAUUCCCCGACCAAUCGAAUAUUAUAUAACAACUUGCAUACUUUGCAAAAUUUAUAAAUAUUACCCACAACUAUAACAUUAUAUUAAAUUUAUUCCAUAAUAUUCAAAAAUGAUAAUUAUAGAAAAUUCAUUUUUAUUCAAAAAGUUGAGGUCUUACAGUGGAGAUGAAGAGGGUGAAGAUUAUGCAAGGGAAUCCUUUAAAGUGUUUUCGAGAGAGGAGAGAGAGACAAAUCAAAUUUUCAACGGACCCAUCAAAUUAACGAACUGUCAAAUGAUAGCCCAAAAACCAAUUGCUAAACCAACCUGCAUAAUGUAAGACAAAAACCGGUAUAAAAUUGGUACCGAACCGGUUAAUCGAUUUGGUAUACCGGUUAGAUCGGUAUCGAUAUUGAUACCCAAUUUUAAAUAGAUUCGAUUAUCGGUCCGAUUUAGUUCGAGCCGGUUGGAUACAAUAAAUUCAUGUAAUUAGGGUUUGUAAACGGAUUGAACGCACAAAUUGACAUUCGAAAUUCAUGUAAACGAAUUAAUAACAAGAGAUACAUACUACUCCAACUAAAGUAGCACACAGUUUUAAGUUGGAAUCAUUGGAGAAAGUGUCAAAAACAUGUUUUCUCCUAGUACAACCUUAGGUAAUUAUUGACUAUGAUUAACUAGUUUGCCAAACAACAAAACAGAAAGAACAAGAAUUGAGUGUCUACUUUUCUUCAUCUUACGUGUAUCUAAGCAUAAAGCCAUGAGAACCUAAACAAAGUUCCAUAUAUAAUGACGAUACGUUAUUAUACAUACAUAUUAUAUUUAUAUGAAUUUUUUUAAUAAUUAAACACGAGUAUAUUAUAAUUUUAUUUAUUUAUAUUUUAACUCUUAAAAAUAUAAAAAAAUAAAAUUAUAGAAAGUUUGUAUUCAAUUUUUAUGUCCAAUUAUUAUUUCCCAAUAACUCAUUUGUAUGCAUAUUUUUUGAAUUCGAUUAAUAUAAUUUUUUUUUAUUAUAAAUUAGUUAAUUGACAAAUAAAAUAUUUAACAUUCUUAAUAUGAAAAGCGAUUACUCUUUUCGUCCUGCAACGCCGUCUUCCACGUUUCUUUCUUUAACGUCCUUCUCUCUGAAGACUCAUAAUUUCUUUCUCUAAAACUUGUUACUUUAUAUAAAUACACGUUCAUUCAUUAUUCUUAUUUUAAUAGGAAUAAAACCUGGCGAAGUAAAUUACUGAAAAGAUGUUAUCAAGAGUACUUAAUGGUAGUACUGUGGUUUGGAAUGAAGGCUGAAAAGAUGAAGAAACAGCUCCAUGGAACAACAACAAUAAUGGGGGUUUAGAGAACAAAGAUGAAAUGGGGUCUCUCUCUACAUUCAAAUCAAUGGUCGAAGUUGGUGAAGAAGUAGAAGAAUGGUACUUAGCUGCUACUAACAACAUCACCUUCUCUCCAAACUUCACUGAAGCUGAUAACAUUAAUAAUCUUCUGUUGCAACCAGUGGAUUCUUCUUCAUCCUGUUCGCCCUCAUCAACUUCACUUUUCGAUAAUCUUGACCCAUCACACGUAAACUACUUUUUACCUCAAAAACCCACUAACCCAUUACUCCUAAAUCCAUUAUCUAACAACCCACUAGAGAAUAAUUUCGAUCUAAGCUGUGAAACCGGGUUUCUUGAAAACCAAGCUUUGAAUUCUUUAAGUAGGGGAAAAGGGAUUUUGACUGAAUUCAGCAAUUUAAGCUCUCAAGCCCAUAUGGGUACUUCCAAUUAAAGUUCAGAUCUUCAUUUUUCAACAACCCAUUUGCUUCAAUUGGCUGAAAACAGUGGUGCAAUCAGUGCUGGUUUUGAUUCAACGGGGUUUCAGGGUUUUGAGCCUGGGGAUGGGAAUUCUUUGUUUUUCAAUAGGUCUAAGUUGUUGAAGCGGCUUGAAAAUUUUCCUUCAGUUGGAGCACAAUCCACUUUGUUUCAGAAGAGAGCUGCUCUUAGGAAGAAUUUGGCAGAUAGUGUUUGCAAUUUUGGGCUUUUGGGUAAUGUUGGAGGAUUUGAUAGGAGGGAAGUGGGUGAAGUGAGUGAAAAGAAAAGGAAGAAUACCCAUGGAGAUGAUUUGGAUAAUCUUAGCUUUGAUGGGUCAGGUUUGAAUUAUGAUUCUGAUGAGUUUACGGAGAAUAACAUGGUAGAAGAGAGAGGCAAGAAUGGCGGGAAUAGCUCAAAUGCAAAUAGUAAUGUGACUGGUGGGGAUCAGAAAGGGCUUCCAGCUAAAAAUUUGAUGGCCGAAAGGCGCCGCCGGAAGAAGCUCAAUGAUAGGCUGUACAUGCUGAGGUCUGUUGUCCCAAAGAUUAGCAAGGUAUGAAUUACUGUGCAGCUAUUUCUCGUGAAUUACAGUGUGUUAUUUAUCAUGUUUUAGCUUUUGGGAAUGAUUUGUCAUUUUUUUUUCUUUUUUAUAUUUAGUUUCUUUUUGUUUGAUCAACUGCAUGUUUUUACUGUAUAAUAUUGUUCAAACUUCAAAGUGAUUAUGAAUUAAAAGCUAAAGGACCGCAUUAAAUUCAUUCACAUGAAAUCUGGGAUGGUGGAUUUAAAUUUGACCACAAUGUAUGGACUAAAGUCAGGAAAAUAAAAUAUCUUAUUGAAGGAUUGAAAAAUUUAUAUGAACACUUAACUCUAAUGGUGCAGCAUAAUGGAAGUUCUUUUUGUUAUGAAUAUUCUUCUUGUAAAUCUCUCCAAAAAUAGCUGCCCGUGUCAAUCUUUUGCUGAUUUCCUUCUUUCAUCUUUUGGCUGCAUGAGGUCCCAUAUAUACUUUAGCCCUCCUCUGUUCAUUAUACCCCACAUUUUGGGGUUUAUUAUUAAUAGUUUUAUCCAUGCCUCGAGAUGAAGAUUAAUUAUGAUUCUGUUAUAUUUCGCGAUUGCCCUAGCAUGAAGUUCUUUACUUUAAUCUGGAGUGACCACUAUGAACGGUUAAGACACUUGAAAAUCAGAGAAGAAUAUUUUCAUUCAUAUAUUUUUAUGUAUCCUUACAUGUACAUAUUUAUAGAGAUAGUAGAGAUCCUACAAUCAAGCUAUUCAUCCUACAAUCAAGCUAUUCCUAUAAUUAAGUUAUUUAGCUAUUCCUAUAAUUAAGUUAUUCCUNNNNNNNNNNNNNNNNNNNNNNNNNNNNNNNNNNNNNNNNNNNNNNNNNNNNNNNNNNNNNNNNNNNNNNNNNNNNNNNNNNNNNNNNNNNNNNNNNNNNCCAUAGAGUACUUGAAGGAACUUCUGCAGAAAAUAAAUGACCUCCACACUGAACUGGAGUCGACGCCUACUAGCUCUUGAUUGACAGUCCACAAGCUUUUAUCCUUUGACACCCACUCCACCUACCCUACCCCGCCGUCAUGGGCGGACCUAAGGCUAGGGCAAGGGGGCACCUGCCCCCACUGGAUUUUCACCUCUUCAUAUUAUAUAUAUACUACAAUUAUUAAUAUAUUCACAAAUUUUAGAGCACGGUGAAACAAAAUAAAUAGAGUACUACAGUUAUAUUAGUACACUACUAUAAUGUUAUUGAAAAAAAAUAAUAUACGACUAUAUAUUGUUAAAAUAAAAUACUACUGUAAGAACUUAAGUAUUUUAUUGUCUUGAUCAAUUUACUUCUCCUGAAUACCAAGAAGGUAAAAAACAGAGGAGUUACAGUUACUAAAAAUUAUGAAAUAUUUCGUUUAUAAUUUCUAUAAUUUACCUGAAUUUUUCACAAAAAAAAAAGAGUGACUAGUAAAUAUUCCAAUAUUAUGUAGACAGGUGUCAUUUCAUUAGUAGUAGUAGUAGUAUAAAAUUCGAGAUCAACAUCAUUAUAUUUAUCUUCUCCCAAUAAUGUUGUCAGUUGUUGUUGUACAAUCCACCAGUCACUUAAUCAAAUUUAAACAUUUUAAAGUAUAUUAAAAUGUUUAUCUAUCAUAUUAACAAAAUAGUAGCAUGAUAUUCUUUUUUUCAGUAACAUAAUAGUAGUAUACUAAUAUAACUGUAGUACUCUACUUAUUUUGUUCCACUAAGCCUUAAAAUUUGUGAAUAUAUUAAUAACUAUUAUAUAUAUAUAUAUAUAUAUAUGAAGAGGUAGAGGAAUUGGAAGAAUGUACAUGUUAUUGAAAUAUGAUAUUUUUGUAACUAUUAAAAAUGAGGCUAUCAUGCAAUAAUUUCAAGCAAUAAAAAUGCAAAAAAUAUUAUUAUGAACAAUAUUUGAGGAUUAUUUAGUUUUGUGAUUCAUUUUAUUAAAUUAAUUUUUAUUCUUAAUAAAUUUUAUUUUUAAAUUUGACCCCACUGAAUUUUCAAGCUGGAUUCGCCCCUGCCCGCCGUAUUAAGGAAGAACUUUGUCCAAACUUGUUGCCGAGCCCAACUGGACAACCUGCAAGGGUAACAACACCAAUUCUGGCUGCAAUAUCUUUGUUAUUGUAUUUGUUUGUGGGAUGAGUCAAUCUAUGUGCUUGAAAACUUUGUCCAUAAAAUCAACUAGGAAAUCGUUAUAUAAUGUUAAACAGAUAAAUCUCCAUUUUCUGUGUUUGUAGAUCGAAGCAAGGCUAAGAGAAGGAAGAGCUGUAAAUAUCCACAUGUUGUGUGGCCGCAGGCCAGGUCUCUUGCUCUCAACAAUGAGGGCUCUGGAUAACCUUGUGCUAGACAUCCAACAAGCUGUUAUCAGCUGUUUCAAUGGGUUUGCGUUGGAUAUUUUCCGCGCUGAGGUAGAAUUUCUCCCCUUUAUGAUAUGUACAUGACUUGGGAAGUAUGCAUACCACCUGCAUACAGGUCCCAAGUCCGCCCACUAGACCCAAAACUUUUAUUUGUUCUCAAGAAAGAAAAUACGAGGACUAUAUUUUAUAUCCCAUUUUUUUUAACUAGUGUCUAAUAAAAAAAUGGAAGUCUAGUUACUCGUGGAUACAUAACAAUUUUUCAUGCGAGUAAUUAGAUAGGAACUUGCAUACAGGUUCUGAUGGAACAUUUAUACUAUGCAAUACUUAUCCUGAUGGAUCACUGUUGCACUCUAUUAUUUAUCUUCUGUUACAUAUAAUAUAUGAAAAUUUCCACAGCUUCCUACCAAGGGUCUAAUCAUCCCCUUCCUAGUGCAAAAAGGAAAUUGCCAGUUUUGGUUGAUUUUGAUUAUCAAAGUAUGGCUAUUCCAAAUGGUUAUGUUUUGUAUUCUCAGGCAUGCAAGGAAGGCCAAGAUGUUCAUCCAGAUCAAAUCAAAGCAGUUCUGCUGCCUUUGGUGGUAUGGUCUAAUAAGUGUUCUUCCAUUCCUCUGGUUUAGUCUACAGUAACACCAAACCAAGGUUAUCUUUUUUCUACUUGGUUUUUCUUGGAAGUAACAAUGCUUCUGAUUUCUGUUUUAGGUUAAUUUCUACUACAGUGACCGGUGCUUUACUAGAAUGGAUCAAGGAUGUGAUAUUCACGUCAAAUUGUUAAACUAAUGGCUUUUCACUUUUUUUUCUUUUAAUAUUUUUUUAUAAGGAAGCUUAUGUAAUGUAAAUUUUAAUUUUAUUAUCAUACCAUCAACAUUUAAUAAACUCGUGGAAAAUGUUGAACAAAAAUAUAUCCUUAAAAGUUUAUAAAACUUUCAAAGGAAACAUUUUAUUUAUUUUCAAACAUUAUCAUAUCAUAUUUUCAAACACCACCUACCACUUCCCUCCCUCAAAAAAAUAACCAACAAAAGCAAAUUGGAAAUAGUAAACAACUCUACUCGAGGCAUUGGAACACUCGAUUGCUAAAUUGUAUUAACUUCUUACUUACAUGCAUACGUUGAGGCAAAAACAAGGCUCUGUACAAGGGUGAAUUGGUUUAAGAGGGCAAGGCAGUCAUCUCCUUGCCUCAGGUACUAUGUAUAAUUUAUGUAUAUAUAAAAUAUAUAGGACAGCCAUACAACACUAGCUCCACAAAUGUCCAAAAUUGUGAAGCACCAAAAGUUGCACCUGCUCCACAGAAAAUUUAUCCACUCACACGAGCUCUUCUGAAGCCUAUACACCUGUGAAAAACAAAAUCCCAUAUCAAAGUUUGUUCUAGUUUCUUCAAACAAACAGUCAUACAGAACUAUGUAUGAAAGAAUAUGAAAGGCGAUUUCACUAUAUUUUUGACCAGGAACAGGGCCCACCGCAAGAAUAUUUUUUAAAAAGCACUUGUAAGUGACAGUUUCCCAUUACUUCUCUUCAUUAUACUUGUAUUUUCAGAACAAGCCAGGAUUUACCUAAACUUAGACUGAAACCUAGGAAUCCUCAGGAGUGGAUGAAGGCAGUAGAUUCUUCAUUUCUCUUGCAUCCAUGCCUUCUGCAGUCGUUGAAUUUUCCUCGCCUUUCGAAUUCAGGUUUCCUGGGUUCAUUCGCUGGACCUCUUCUCUAGUAUAAAUGAAGAUUUUCCGAACCAUGCCACAGAAUUCCCUAUUUUAAACCCAAAACGAAAAAUGAAAAGCAUAAAUCAACAAGUGAGCAUUGCUCUCAAGGCAAUUAAAUAGUGGAAGUUACUCGAGAUAGAAUAUAUAUAUAUAUAAAGGGGUUCUUACUGCCACGGAUCAUCUCCAACAAGCAUCAUAUCACCCUCGUCAUCAGUAUACACAAGCAACCAAUUUUUGUUCCGAGCUUUCAAGUCACCGCCAAACUCAAAUAACUGGUCCAAUUCAGUAAUAAGUCCAUCAUAAUUGUUGAACUUAGUAAGGUCCACGGACCGACCAAGGGCAAUCCCCUGCUUAUGAACCUGAAAUCAACAUCAUGUAUUAGUUCCACAAGGAAUUUAGCUACACUAAAGUAAAAGACUAUGCAGUUAAACAUGUUAUAACCUUAGUGCAGCUCCUUGUAGUAGAACCUCCCUGGACUUUGCCCUGACCAUCUUUCACAAGUGGCUGAUAGGUUUGGAAAGGUUUAUCCUGCUCACUACAGGUAAGAGGAAUAUCUGCCACUUUUGAUCUUUUUGAUUGUUCAGUCCUUUGAUCAAGUUCAAAUCUAGACUGCAUCCCAGGAUGGAUAUGCCCUGCUGCCUCGAUCAUUGUACUUCUGUGCGACACUGCCGACUCCAGUGUAGCAGGGCUGCUGAUGAGGGGUAUACCAAAGAGCUUACAAUUUCCAUCUUUAGGUUUUACUGCCUGAUGCUGUACCGAUAAGGAUUUUGGUAUCAGUUCUCUUGAAUGAGCAGGCAUCAGAAGAUAAGAUGGAAAUGGCAGAGGCAUCAACCAGUUGCCUUGGUGGUGGUCACCCGUCUGACCAGGAUGCAUGGGAUACUCGUUAUAAUUACCAUAUCUAGCAUCCCCUUGUGGUUGAUAAGAAGCAUCACUUUGCAAAUGACCUUUCAUGCUAGAGUCUAACAAGUUUAGAGAGAGAUUGGAAGACGACAUGGACCAUGGGCUUGAAAAUAGGUUGAACUUGCCUUCCUGAUUGGGCAAUUGAAGUUUCAUCGAGUUUGCAAAAGCUGCAGUUCGAGUACUAGAGGGCAUACAGAGAUCGUGUGAGGAAUUAGUUUGGGUCCCAAAACCUGAUAGAAGAUCUGUGAAGGACAAUUCAGCCCUCCCUAAGGGCGACAACUUCUCUGACCUAUAUCUUUUUGAAGCAGAUACAACGUCAACCUUCUCAUCAUCUAUGGAAGGUGGCCAUACCAUUGGUUUAUCAGACGAAUCAGACUCGUUACUCUCACCAAAGGCGCCUCUCAAGGUCGAUAUUUCUUGACCUUGCAAGACCCUUGAAAACCCACUUGCAGGCGGCGAAGGAUCUACUGCUACUUUAGAUGAACCUAUACCAAAAGAAAUACAAGGAUAUUUACAAGUUAUUAAACAUUAUUGGGUUAACCUCUAUUAAACAUUUGAUAGAGGAAUAUACCUUCCCGCGUGAGAACAGAGGAGUCUGGAGAAGAAGGCAACAUGCUUGAUCGAGGUCUUUUUGGUCUUGGCAUUGGGAGUGGAUUUAGCGCUGGAGGGGUAACAGCAGGUUCUAUUUUCCAGGCAGAAACUCUCUCUGGACGAGGAAUAUUGGAAGUUUCAUCCCAUCGCACCUUCAAAUAGAAUGAAAAGGAUAAGCUUUUUGUAAUGCAAUAUAUAAACUAAAUCAUAAUUUAUUAAGAGAUAUAUAAUACCUUGAGAAAUCUCCAUUUAGAUUCUGGCCACCUUUCGGGAUCAGACUCUUCAGUUCCAACUAUGGUUCCAGUAAACCUGCAAGACAAAAAAAUUAAAAUUUCAUGCAACAAAACAUGCAGGGUUAUUUAUGAAGAAACGAGGUCAGAUUCAGUAAUGCAAACACAAUGUUGCCAUACCUCUGCUCUGGGGAUUCUUCUCCUUCAAAUCUCAUUUUGAAUCUCAUUCCUAUGGAAUAAUUGUUCUUGACAGACUCCAUGUAUUGAUCAAAUGGUACAAUAAACUCAGCAGGGCUAGUCCUGGAAGAAAAUAAUAGAAUGCUUGCUUAAGGAGGCUAGCUAACAUUGAAAAAAACUUAUGACAAGACGAAAAAAUGAAACUAGACCUACUGGACUACUAGAUGAAAUGGUGGAAGCUUGAUAGCAAAUAAUUGUUAGCCCAAAUCAUAAAGAUGAGACUGUCCACAUAAUUCGACUCUUACAUACACAGAAGGUAAUCAAGUUUAUAACCAUUAUGAUAAGUUGACGUAAAGGGGUGGGAAUCAAAAACCAUCCCAGACUUCUAUACUAGGCACCUAACUAGAGCUAAUUUCUGAAAUCCUUCCACCUCGCAGUUGCACUACUCAUUAAAAGUAUUGCAUCACUUACCUAGGCUUGAAAUAGACUGUGAACAUUGUUCCUGUCUGAAUGGCAUGCCAAGCUGUUGCAAGGACACCAAGAUGCAUGCUGUGACUUGAUAUGACUGAUGAUGGAACAUUAGCCUGCUGUCUCAAAGCACGUCUUACACCAACACGAAGGUCCCCAUUUUCACCCCUAGAAAUUUCACCUUGUUUCAGAAGGCGGUAAAAUAUAGAAAAAAUAUGAAUUCUGAAAAUUUUGAAGAAUUUUGCAAACCUCAAAAAUAUAAAAGCAUCCCCAGCGACGAGCCUUUUUGAGCUAACAAAAACACUCCAGCCACUUUGAAGCAAGUGCCUCCUUGGUUGACCUGACAUUUGCAAUUCCAUGACAUUAAAAUGCAUUUCUAGUUUAAAAUCAACCAACUUCUAAUAUACACCCAAAACAAAGUCCUGCGAGUAUAGUGCAGCCACAAAAAAGAUUCAACUUUAAGACUCAAGUACAUAAUAAUAAACAUCCCAUUAGGGAAGAACAAAAUCUUAUGCUUAACGGUAUCAAUUUAAAGCAUAUUAUCAUGAAAGGAAUUCUGACAAAAAAAUACUUUUAAAAAAAGGUAUUCUGUCAAAAAACACUUCAACUGUUUUCAGUGGAAAUAAUCAUUUAUAAUUACAGGGUUUUCCAGUUCAAAAAAGCAGGAAGAAAAUAAUGGUGAUAACCAUCCCCUUGUCCAAGUAUCACUAAGGAUAUCAUAUAUAUACAAACAUCAUACACACUAUUCAAGUUUCCAAAAUGUAAGUAAAAGAUGAUCGAGUUAUAGCAUACACCCUAUUCAAGUUUCCAAAAUGUAAGUAAAGAUGAUCGAGUAUAUAGCACAUACCACGAAAUAUAUGUCUAAAACGCCAUUCAUUUCCAUGCAAAUCCUUGGCCACCAACUCCUGUGUUGGGGGUUGCUGUGUCAUGUCCUGUUAAGUAUAUACCAAAUACCAAAAACAACUUAGAGCCCAAAUUCAAGUAACUAAAGAAAAAGAACAUGUACAAGCAAAUGCAUAACAAAUCAUCCUAACCAGUGGGGGUAGGCAUUCAUCAGCAUGCCGUCUCAACACUGAGAAUCCUCCAUGAGUGCUUGUAUCAGAUGCAGUGAGAGUCUUGCAAAAUGAAUGAACAUGAAAACGGGGUUGGGCAGGAGGUAUAUGAUCCAUCUUCACAGCACUCUCAUCUUGCUGGCAUCACCCAAGUAAACAUACAAUCAUCAACUCUGCGUCAACUUCUCAAAAAAUCAAGUGCGUCUUGCAGUGUUCAUGAAGAGUAAACUUACAUUUGGUUCAGGCAUCAAAGUCACUUGUGCAAACACCUCAUCUGUGUCUGGCUCAGCCUGUAAAUACACACACGAACCAAUGUCAUUAUUAACUAAUGGUAAAACCCAUAACAAACACUACAAAUUUGAAAAGAUGGCAUCCAUGGUAAAUUCUGGAAGAUCCAUCCCCAAUACUAAAAACCGAGCAACCAUUUUACCAUACCUUCAAGUGAACAUUAAAAACACGGCAUAAUAUCUUGGAUAGAAGAUUAUACACUGGCAUCUGCUGUUCCGCCACCUGAUUAGUGGAGGCCUCCACCUAAUCAAACCCAGAAAGCAAAAGCCAUAACUCAUAAACUGAUUAACACAAACCAUUUAAUAAAACUCCUAAAAAUCUUCUUCAGCAGUAACCACAAAUAAGCCUCGUCUUUAAACACAGUUUCUAAGAAAAAAAAUAACUUUUAGUCACACAGACUAACGUACAGGCAAAAUUCGUAAUACCUUUAAUAGAAGUAAUAGAAAUUACUGUGAAUCAAAGCUCCAAGUAAGAGGGAGCUUGCAAUUUUCUUGUGACAUAAAUAGAAAUUAACCUGUUCAAUGUGGCCUUGAGGAAAAUAAUACACAAGAUCGCCUUCACGAGGCACACUCACGAGCGGACCAGCACAAGCCCGCCAUAACUCUGUGUAAAGCGCUGCAUCCGCAUCAACUGCACACAUAAGAGAGAAAGCACAAUCAAAAUUCGCCAGAUCCCUUAACAGUCACCUGAAUCUCACCGAGUAACUACAAAAUUUACCAUUUCCUCCGCCGGAAGCCGCCAGAACAGUUGUAGAACCUCCUAUGCCGUCGUUUUGAUCACUAUAAGCCGAGGAGAAACUCUCUCCCUGAGGAGUUAUUCCUUUACUCGACACGUCGGAAGAAGCCAUUUCUAUUCAGCCUCAACACAGAUCUCUUAUCUCAAACCUUAAAUAUCAAAUUAAAUUUCACUUUCACCCUAUAAAUCUUUAUAUAUGUAUAUAAAAUCAAGCUCAACUUAAAACCCUUUAUCAAUUCAAUGAAGUUAACUUUCUCUCUCAAUAGAUAUGAAAUUCUCAAUCAGUUGCCAAAUCUGUAUACCUCUUUCUCUCUAUAUCACCGGUAGUAAUAUCAGAACUUCGUCGUCGAGAAGAGAAUGGAAUGGGUUGGGGUUUACAGGCUCUAGAGGGAUGGGAGGAGAGAGACAAGCUUUUUGAUAACCAGAUGGGGGUCAAAACUCCAAGCACUUUGUUUCGCAAUAAUUUCAACCGCGGUCAAUUCCUAACCCCGUGUGAAACCGAUGAAACCGGUGAGUCUCUAUCCUCCACUGGCUACUCCCGGUGGAUGCAGCAAACAUAUGAAAACGCGACUGUGUCCGGAGGAGACAAUAAAUAAAGGCGGGCUUGCGAAGGAGAGAGUAUGGACGGCAUUUGGUUCGCCGUUAAGUGAUGUUGGGGGUGGGUAAAAGCCUAAAAUGAGCAAACAGUUUGGAUUCAAUUUGUACUCGCUCGACUUGAAAUAUAAAUUAGUCAAAUAUGAGUAAAUUUUAAAGUUUGAUAAUUUACUCGAAUCUUCUUAAAUUAUAAUUUUCUAUUGAUAUUCGGAUAAUAUUUAUUCAAAUUACUCUGGUUCGAUUCGAGAUCAUAUUCAACUCAAUAAUUAAACAAGUUUCAAUUAAAUUUUAUUUUAUAUUUCAUAAAUUUUUUGAACUAAAUUUAAGUAACUCAAUACUUGAUUCGAUUCAUUUACAACCGGUAAGACUUGGAUAACGGUGAACCGCUUUGACUUGACGUUAGUAGAAAGAUGUUCUGUUUUUAUGGGGAAGUGGGCCUGUCGUGCUAUUAACGGGCAGAGUUGGAGAGGGGGUUAAGUUAGCACACCCACUUUUUCUGGCGCAUGUUAACCAUGGUGACAUUUUACUAGUAUUAUUUUUUAUUGAACUGUACAUAUAAAAAUAAUUUUUUUUAAAAUUCUUUAUUGCCGGCUUUCCCUCUCUACAUUAGUGCGCCCGGGCCCUAUUGUACUACAGUCUACAGAUGCAGAGACUACACCAAAUACAAGUCUCGCUGCAUAUCGUCACGUUUACUUACAUUUUCGUACGGUUAGUUGCCUCGAUAAUUUGAAAAGAAAAUAAAGACUAGUCUAUUUAUAAAAUAAUAACUGUAAAAUUUUUUUUUGAUACAAAUAUAAAAAUAAUUUACAAAAAAUAGAGAAAAAAAUUGAAUAAGAUGCUAUACAUUAUUUUAUAUACGAUAUUAGUACUUAUUUUUUGGUCACCAAAUCAGUUAUGAAAUAUGCAACCAUUGCAUUACACAUAUAAUGAAUAAGACAAUUGAUACAUAUUGUUUUUUUUCUUACAAUGUUUAAGCAAUGGGACUCAUACUUAUUUUAUUUUUUCUUAUGCGGGUAAUUGAUACUUCAUACUUAGUAGUGCUCUUAUUGUUUAAUAUUUCUUUGUUUUGAGUAUAUUAUUCUUUAAACUUACAUUUUUUAUAAUUUUGAUCUACUUGUUAAUUGCUGCACAAGUUUUCCCAACAAGAUGAAUUUUAUCAUUAUCUCAAAAUGAGUAGUAGCCUUAUGAAAUUAAUAAAAUAACAUUUUAUUCUCUCUCUUAUUUAAGAGUUAACGUUCAAAAUAGUGACGAUGUAUACAAAAACGGAUUUAUGAUUAUAAAAAUAUGCUGCACAAUGUAUAUUUUAAAGUUUGGAUAAAUAAACUUGGACGUAUAAAAUAAAUAAUUUAUAUUUAUAAGAAUAAUAUAAUGUCUUUAACUGUUUAAUAUAAGAAAGUGGUUAGUAAGAAGUUUAUUUUAAGAUAAAUUAGUUAAUUAAUUAAUAAAAUAUUAAUACGCAGAUAAAAUUAUAUGUGUGUCAGUAUUCUAUUUGGGUUUUGAGGAAAGUGAAUUAAUGAAUGAAACAUUUGAUUUAAUGAGUAUUUAGUACGAAUAGAACUAAUAAUGAGUGGGACCCAAUGGAAUUGUGUAAGUAGCAGUUUUGUGGUCUAGAAGUAACAAACGGAGGAAUCUUUGUCCGGACAAUAGCUUUAAUUGGAGAUGCCAUCAGCAUCUGUCUCCUUAUUUCUCCAUCCAUCUUACUUCUCUUAGAUAAUCUUAAAUUAAAUAUCAAUUUAUUUUAAUUAUAAUUAUUAUAUUUUUAUUCUGUAUAUAUAUUUAUGCAAUAUUAUUAAAAAAAUAUGUAAUUAAAUAAAAAAUUUAAUAUAAAAAAAUUUAUUGUUUUAUUCUUUUCACAUAGAUGAACGAUUUUAUGUGAUAGAUUUAUACGGCGUAAAAAUGAAAAGUUAGAGCAUCCAAAUAAGAAAAGAAAAUUUAUUAUUCAAAAUAGAUUUAAGCUUUUUAGUAUUUAGUAUUAUUUGUGAUGGAAUGGAUAUAGUAGUCCUACUCCUACCUCAUUAUGUUGCGACUUGCAAAGGGAUAGGAUAGGGUCAUAGGGCUGGUUGCUUGGUGUUGACGGAGAGCUACUAAGGAGGGUUAAAAAUGGAAAGACAUUGUUGACACGACAUUACAUUAUCGUUUUUAAUAUCCGCCAAGUGGCUGUGAGCCGGUGCUAUAUUUUUUACUACCUAUAUGGAGUAAAAAGCAAUAGUAAUANNNNNNNNNNNNNNNNNNNNNNNNNNNNNNNNNNNNNNNNNNNNNNNNNNNNNNNNNNNNNNNNNNNNNNNNNNNNNNNNNNNNNNNNNNNNNNNNNNNNNNNNNNNNNNNNNNNNNNNNNNNNNNNNNNNNNNNNNNNNNNNNNNNNNNNNNNNNNNNNNNNNNNNNNNNNNNNNNNNNNNNNNNNNNNNNNNNNNNNNNNNNNNNNNNNNNNNNNNNNNNNNNNNNNNNNNNNNNNNNNNNNNNNNNNNNNNNNNNNNNNNNNNNNNNNNNNNNNNNNNNNNNNNNNNNNNNNNNNNNNNNNNNNNNNNNNNNNNNNNNNNNNNNNNNNNNNNNNNNNNNNNNNNNNNNNNNNNNNNNNNNNNNNNNNNNNNNNNNNNNNNNNNNNNNNNNNNNNNNNNNNNNNNNNNNNNNNNNNNNNNNNNNNNNNNNNNNNNNNNNNNNNNNNNNNNNNNNNNNNNNNNNNNNNNNNNNNNNNNNNNNNNNNNNNNNNNNNNNNNNNNNNNNNNNNNNNNNNNNNNNNNNNNNNNNNNNNNNNNNNNNNNNCCCACCCCCUAAAUUUUACUAUUUUUUUAAACCUCACUUUUUAGGGGAUAUAAUUAUAAUACUCCAUCCGUUCCUAUUUAAAUGACGUUUUAAAGUUUUUUAUUUGUCCGUAAUUAUUUGACGUUUGUUCAAAUUUAGAAGAAUUAAUGACAAUUUUUUCAAAAUUACCCCUUAUUAUUCUUCCUACUUUUUUGAUACUUUAAACUCUUUCUCUCUCCUUAUCCCAACAAAACUCUUCUUAUCCCAACAAAACUCUCUUUAUCCCAAUAAAAAAUUUAAGGGUAUUAUAGACAAUUGAGUACUAUAUUUAAUGCUUUUCAAAUAUUAUCUUAAUGUUUGUGCCUAUCUCUAAAACGUCAUUUAAAUAGGGACGGAGGAGCGUAAAGGAACGCAUUUAAAGUGAUCAGAAUCUCAGUUUUAACUAUUAGACUAACUUAAGAAAAUUAUUCACCUAAUAAGUAAGUUAUUAAUUAUUAUGUUAAUCUUUCUUUUUUGAGUUUCAAUAAAGAUUUAAUAUCCUUGAUCAAUAAUAGAUAAGAGUUGAGUUGAUUAAUUGUUUUAAGUAUUUCAUCCAACUUUAAAAAAGAAAAUAUAUUAUCAUCAUUUUCCGUAAUCUUUGAGCGAGCGAGCUAUAAAUUGACGAAUUCAAGUCAUGUGGGGCUUCAAGUUGAUUAGGCUUAGGGAUGAGACCCACAGCUUAAACCUGUCCCCUAAUCAAAGGACAAGAGCCUACGAAAGUGGGACACGACUUAUUCUUCCCCAUUUCUUCAACCACCCCCUUAAUCCUCUCCUCCAUCACUCCUCACCUUCAGACCAAAACCGUGUUUCUCUCUAAUCACAUACUCUUUUCUUUUUUACAAUUCGAUUUUAGAGAUAUAUUGAAAUAAGUCGGGUCAAAUCUACAAAUUUGGAAUAAAUAUUGGGUCAAAUCUCGAAUUUAAAUCAAAUCAAAUCUAUCCAAAUAAAGCUUUAAACCACUAACUCAAUAGUAUCUUAUUAGUUAAUCUUAGUCCACACAGGUUCACCCAAAAGAUCAUAAUUGAAUGUACUAUUGUUAGUAACUUAAUUCGUUAUUCCCAUAUCUUUCGAUGUGAGAUUAGAAUGCUACAUAUAUUUUAUCAGAUGUCCGACUUCAGAUAUCUUCGUUUAUUUCUAAAUACAAAAAUAAUAUUUUUGCAUUUUAUUUAGAACCAUAAUGUGAGAGGAAUGCCAAAAACAAAAUACUGCCAAUGUCAAUGUUGCAUCUCAUACUUAAUUUAGCAAUUUAGCUAGGGUGGUGUUUAAAUUGUGAGGUAAUAUAUAUGAUUACAAAAUGUUGAUUAUGCUUCAAAAUCAGUAGUUUUGACAAAGUUUCAUAUCACCUAUUUAGAAAACAUUCCUUGUGUAUAUUAGUAAGUGGUGGUUUGGGGCUUAGUAACAUGAUUGGGAAAUAAAGAUGGGCUCGCGCACAUGAGGACGACUAAGGAAUUGGGCUAGGCCAAACUUGGUUCUUGGACUUUUUCGGCUAGGUAGCCCACUGUUUUGCUAUUUUUAUUUCCUUUUUAUACUAAGCAAGGUUACAGAUUUCUUCUUCGUUAGGACAGUAGCUUUGUGCUACGCCUCGGCUUUCUUCGGUUUUCAGCUAAGUUGUUCUAAUUUUCUCUAUUGCUCGUCUUGUUAAUUCUGCUCUAAAUUCCAAUACUAAAUACUAAGCCCUUCAUGAUUUAAUGAUAAAAAAACUACUCAUAAAUUUGGGUGCAUGAGGUUUUGAGAUCUAUUCUUGCCAAAGACAAAAAUAUUAAAAUUUCAGUCGAAUGUAACAAAAAAAGAAAAAAGAAGAAAGAAAAAAAAAAGGAGUACAAAGUGCAAGAGUUAUGGUAUUAUACAUGCAUGAGAUGAGAGCAAUAUAUGUGUGUGUCCACAUGUCAAAAUUCAAAAGUUUAGCCCACUAAACAAACAAACAAACAAACAAGAAGCUAGUGUCACAUUUUCCCACGUGUUUAAUUUUAUUUGAAUACUUUUGUUUUGUUAGUUGAGGAGGAACGGAUAAAGAUGAUGACACACAAACACACCCUUGUCUAGUAGUACAUCAUUUGUAUAUAUACAUUUUGUAGGCAAGGGUUUGUUUGUAUGAGAUUCAAUUGGGUAAAUACAAAUAUACAAUACUUCUUUGCACUCUAGAUGGAAGACCAAACCUCAGGUCAUUGGCAAAAUCAUGGGCCUAAACAACCACAAUCUUGAGAAAAGAUAAACUUAAAUAUGCAAAGAGGAGAAGAUAAUGAAUUGAGUAAUGUUACAGACACAAACUAUUUUAUAAACUGAUGAUACUCUACCUCAUCAUAUUGAUCAACAAAUUGCUUCAAUGUAGUUUUCGGCUUCACAUAAAAAGCUGAGGUGAAAUAUACAACAUCAACAAUUUGUAAAAUAGUUUGUGUCAGUAGCCUUAUUGUAAAGAAUUAUGUCAUUCCACUUAACUACCAUCUCUACGUGUCUACAAUCAUGUGAUGGCGGCUUGGCAUGUAUGGUUUAUUUAUCCCAUAACUUGUUCAUAUGGACCUGUGUUCACCGACUAUGAUAAUAAGUUUAAUUUGUGUCAAUAUCAAACCACUUUUCUUUCUCCAAACUUUACUAAAAUAAGAGCUUUAUAUGCAAAUAUUAUAAAUUUCCAAAAAUAUUACUCCCUCCGUUCUUUAAUAUAGGUCGUUUUAGACAUGUGCACAAGAAUUAAGGAAAUGAUUGAAAAACAUUAAUUAUAGUAUCAAUUAUCUAUAAUACCCUUCAACCUCACUUAUCUCAUAAAUAUGGAUCAAAAGAUUAGGUGGAGUAAUAAGGGAUAAUUUGGGAAAAAUAAUAAUCAAUUCUCCUAGAUAACCACAAACGACAAAUAAUUAGGAAUAAAAACAAAAGUCUAAAACGACCUACAUAUAAGAAUGGAGGGAGUAUUAAUAUUGAUUUUUGAUGGGAUUUUAAUAUUAAUAUUAUGUGAAAGCUAAAUUUAUUCGCUUGUAAUUUUUUUUUUUUAUUAAAAAAAUUGAAUUAUUAUGUAUCGAUCGAACUUGUAAUUUGCAGUUGCUGGGUUUUUGGGUUAGUUGCAGCAGAACCUCUUUUUCCAUUUCCACAUCUCUAUACGAAGAAGAGGAGAUUCGUAAACGCAAGUGAUUUCCAGUUGAUAACAACGUUUUAUCUUUAAACCUCAAUUUCUGCUGGUUAUGGGAAUGCUGAUUUUCAAAUGGUUAUAAGAUUAAUUAAAAACGUACACAACAUUAAUUUCAGUAGUCAUUAUAUAAUUGAAGCUUACUUGUGUUAAGUAUUGCCGGCAGCUUAGUAAUAUUGUCGUAAUCUUUUAUAAAGGGAAAACUUGUGCCUGGCAUAAGUGGCAUUAAGAAAUACUCGCAAAGUUACUCUUUAAAAUUUUCAUGGAGAGGGCCAAGAAUUGAGGCUAGUUGUUGCCCUUUUCAGGUUAUGUUAACUGUGCAAGUUUUCAGGAAGUAUGAAUAAAAAAGUGUAAGAUGUAUACCAACAAACUGAAGACUCUUCGAGAAAAAAGAGAUGCUGAAAAGAUGGUAGCUAGUAAAGAUUACAUGGGUGGUAGGGAAAAAUUACUAAAAGCCCAACAGCUUUUUCCAGCACUUGAUCGAUCACCUUACGGCAGUGCUGACUGUUUUUGACAUACCCUCAGCUGCCAGAAAUAGAAUUAUGGUCCGGCAUGGGGGUGGUAGAUAAAUUACACUUGCAAAAUUGGACAAAAAUACACCCAACCAUCCUAUUCAUUCAUCAAAAGAGGCUAAUUAAUAAGCCCUUUUUUUUUUAUCUUGCUUCAUCCUGUUCUCAGGUGAGGAAUUGCCCGGAAGGCUGGCGGAAGGGCCUGUGUACGAGGAGCCCCUCGUGUUAGAAGCACCAACUGAAAAUUCACAAGUACCUAAUUUCUCCAAAAAGAAUUUUUCUAGCUGAAACAUUUCAAAUCAAUGCGUGACAAAAAAUGUUAGAUUGACAAAGACAGAGACAAAUACAACCUCAUCAGAGAGCUUUUUCAUGUAAAGGAUCAUCAAAACUCCAAACCCACAAGUACCUAAUUUCUCCAAAAAGAAUUUUUCUAGCUGAAACAAUUCAAAUCAAUGCACGACAAAAAUGUUAGUUUGGCAAAAACAAAGACAAGUACAACCUCAUCAGAGAGCUUUUUCAUGUAAAGGAUCAUCAAAACUCCAAACCCACAAGUACCUAAUUUCUCCAAAAAGAAUUUUUCUAGCUGAAACAAUUCAAAUCAAUGCACGACAAAAAUGUUAGUUUGGCAAAAACAAAGACAAGUACAACCUCAUCAGAGAGCUUUUUCAUGUAAAGGAAGCCUCGUUUGUUUCUCUGUAGUACUACAUAGUAUGCAAAAAGUUGCGUACAUCCCAUUACUAAUAAAAAUAGCCCUUCUGACUGAAGUGAUGAAGGUGCAAAUUCCAUGGGGCCAACACCCAACAAAAAAAACAAAAACCCCAAUACCCCUUCAUCAUGAGAGUGAGAUCCUUUCUACCUUCCACGCCAAUCUUUUCUUCUACAUUUUUUCUCUUUCUUGAUUAGCAGAAUCAACAUCAUUAUGCAGAAGAGACUAUGCUCUGCUAAGUGUAAACAUAACUUUCUUUCCACAACCACAGCAUUCAAAUAUUGAUACACAUACUUUACAACAAAUAUAUACAUACAUAUAUAUAUUGAGAAAGUUCCAUAGCCACUGUUCAAAAUUUAAUCGAAAGGCUAAAUAUUCUAAUCGUCCAUCUAACUAAACUGUUGACGGAGGCCAACCAUGUGAUUUGUUAAAAUAUCCCCUUUUCAAAAAUAAGCAUUGUCCGCAUAAUUAAAUUACGGACGGCAAUUAUUGUCCACAUACUUAAACUGCGGCCAAAAGCCAAACUUUACUUGCGUCUGCAUAAUUAAACUGCAGAUGCUGACCAUCCUAACCAUUCAAUCAAAAUUUGGACAGUAAGGAUCUUUAAGCCUAGGACUAUCCUUACAACUGGGAUCAUUCCCAGUAUAUAAUAUUUACACACACACACAAACAUCCUAGCUUGAAUUUCAUGGUCAAAUUGACCAUUUUUAAAAUUAAAUAUUCAAGACAUAUGCCGAGUGAUUAUAAUCAUAAUAAACUAUGAAAAAUUUAUUACCAAUGUCAAGUUUUGUGAUAUGAAAAUUCAAUAUAGAUAUUUUUAAUUAUUAAUUUUAAAAAUGGUAAAUUUGACCAUUGAAGUCAAGCUAUGAUGUUUAUGAGUAAUGCUACACGGACAGGAAUACUGGACAGGUUCAGUUUUUGUUUGUUUUUUUUU
rnacentral:lncRNA from 1 species